rnacentral:rRNA from 1 species
AUUGAACGCUGGCGGCAUGCCUUACACAUGCAAGUCGAACGGUAACAGGUCUUCGGAUGCUGACGAGUGGCGAACGGGUGAGUAAUACAUCGGAACGUGCCUAGUAGUGGGGGAUAACUACCCGAAAGAGUGGCUAAUACCGCAUGAGAUCUACGGAUGAAAGCAGGGGAUCGCAAGACCUUGUGCUACUAGAGCGGCCGAUCGCAGAUUAGGUAGUUGGUGGGAUAACAUCCUACCAAGCCGACGAUCUGUAGCUGGUCUGAGAGGACGAUCAGCCACACUGGGACUGAGACACGGCCCAGACUCCUACGGGAGGCAGCAGUGGUGAAUUUUGGACAAUGGGCGAAAUCCUGAUCCAGCAAUGCCGCGUGCAGGAUGAAGGCCUUCGGGUUGUAAACUGCUUUUGUACGGAACGAAAAGCCCCGGGUUAAUACCCUGGGUUCAUGACGGUACCGUAAGAAUAAGCACCGGCUAACUACGUGCCAGCCGCCGCAGUAA